GACGAACGCUGGCGGCGUGCUUAACACAUGCAAGUCACGGGGGCUCGCAAGAGCAACCGGCGAACGGGUGCGUAACACGUGAGCAACCUUCCGAUUUGUGGGGGAUAGCUGCCCUAACGGGCAGGUAAUACCGCAUAAGCUCAUUGGGUCACCUGGCCUGAUGAGGAAACCUCCGGGGCCGAUCGAGGGGCUCGCGGCCUAUCAGCUAGUUGGCGAGGUAACGGCUCACCAAGGCGACGACGGGUAGCUGGUCUGAGAGGAUGGCCAGCCACAUUGGGACUGAGAAACGGCCCAGACUCCUACGGGAGGCAGCAGUGGGGAAUCUUGCGCAAUGGGCGAAAGCCUGACGCAGCGACGCCGCGUGGGGGAUGACGGGUUUCGGCUUGUAAACCCCUGUUGCCCGGGACGAACUUCUCCUUUCGAGGAGAUUGACGGUACCGGGUGAGGAAGCACCGGCUAACUCUGUGCCAGCAGCCGCCGUAACAC
rnacentral:rRNA from 1 species